rnacentral:lncRNA from 1 species
GCCUGUAGCCUAAUGGUUAGAUAAGGCCUUAGUAGCACCUGAGGUCCUGGGUUCGACUCCUCGUUGGACAAGAAUGAAGAUAUACAUUCUGUGUUGUGUGCCUGUCCAAAAUUGAAUAAUUGUGCGAACGGGCCUGUAGCCUAAUGGUUAGAUAAGGCCUUAGUAGCACCUAAGGUCCUGGGUUCGACUCCUCGUUGGAGCGAAUUAUUCAUGAUUGUAACGGCUUUGUGCUUUCAGUGGGUGACGAUAUGAGGUUUGCACGCGCACGCGUGCAUUCCUAGAGGAGAGUCAUCAAAAAAAAUUGAAUAAUUGUCGUCAAUAUAGACAACGUUUGAUUUUCAGAGGACUCACAAUCAUCAUCUAUCUUCAUGAAAACUAUCCGUUUCUUAACAUUUCAGAGAUUUUUCUUUG